CUGAUGGCGUGACCCGCACGCUCACCCGUACCCAAUGGGACGCCCAGAGAGGCGUGCGUGCGUACGACCCGCUGACACGUCCCACCGCUUCAUUUUCCGGUUGUGGAAACUGCGAGAGCGAGAUUCGGUGGCAGCAGUGGGACUGAAGGAGACUUCUGAUGGCUUCAGGGACAAUGAGAAACACAGGAGUGAUACCUUGUGAACCCCUUGAGUUCUCUUUCUUGCCAUUUCCGAGGGCCGUGGAAAUUGUACUACAAAAGGUGUAUUGGAUGAAGAGGUGAUCAAAAGACAUGCAACCAAAAAAUAUAGGAAAAAAGUAUAUAUUUAAAAGUAUAUAUUUAAAGUGAUGAAAGGGAAGAACCUACAACCAAGAUUACACUACCUGGCAAGGAUCUCAUUCAGAUUUGAUGGAGAAAUCAAAAGCUUUACAGACAAGCAAAAGAUAAGAGAACUCAGCACCACCAAACCAGUUCUACAACAAAUGCUAAAGGAACUUCUCUAAGUGGGAAACACAAGAGAAGAAACACAAGAGAAGAAAAGGACCUACAAAAACAAACCCAAAACAAUUAAGAAAAUGGUCAUAGGAACAUACCUAUCAAUAAUUACCUUAAAUGUGAAUGGAUUAAAUGCCCCAACCAAAAGACACAGGCUUGCUGAAUGGAUACAAA